ACUUGAAACAUUCUGAGUGUGCCUGCAGUAGGGUCUCAGAGGAGUUGCUCUGAAAGCUGUUGAGAGCAGCCACCUUUGCUGUCACUGAGACCUUGGCAGGGUCAGCUCUGGUGGGCUGUGUGCACCCAGGCUCUGAUGGCACCAGGAUGGCUUCCUGCAACCCGGAACCUGAUUCUGGCCCCCGGCAGAGCCUAAGGGCCCGAGGCCAGGGACCUAGAGGCGGGACCAAGUUCGCGCGAGGUGUUCACAGCCUAGGCGCCCCGGGCUUGGCUUCGUACUCUGCAACAAGCCGAGCUCCCUUGCCACGAGUAUAUCAGCAAUUUCAGAAAUAAACACCAGCGAAACCCCUUCCCACAUUAGCUUGUUGCUGUGCCACAGACACUGGGCUUAGUCGAUGUUCACACCUAUUACAUUUUCCCAGAAAGUGGGAGGAGCAGGGGUAGAGAAAGCUGUGUGUAUUUGAGGGAAGGGGAGAUGUGUGCAACACCUUCCGGAAAAUGGGGAGGUAGUUUAGAAAGUUUUUCUCUGUAACAGCACAACUUCUGAGAAGGCAGAGAGAAGAAGAAAGCAGGCAGGAAACGAAUCCCUUCCUCCUCUCCCCUUUACCCCUUCCUUCACUCCCCUUUACCCCCUUCCUUCACUCCCUUUACCCCUUCCUUCACUCCCCUUUACCCCUUCCUCACUCCCCUUUACCCCCUUCCUUCACUCCCUAGACCGAGCUGGUCACCCGGCUGGGAAUCAAGAGUGUGUGGCUGGGAAGACGCCAGUCUCUGUGCUCGGGUUCAGCCCAGUCGGGCAAGAAAGUGUGGACAGCUGGAGAAGGUCGUCACAGUCUCCCGUGGAAUCUUGUUGCCUGAGAGCCCCACACCGGAAAGGGCUAAGACGACUCUUCCACACACAGGUCGCAGCCCCUGCCGCGGAGGAUCCCCAGGAAGACGCUGGGGACGCUCUGAGCGUCGGCCUUCCUUUACCCCCGACUCCCUGGAGCUUGGUCUGGGGAUGCCAACUUGGGGCACGGAGGCGCCGGGCUGCUCCGAAGCUGGAGGGUUUCUGCUUGGGUCAGAGGGAUCACGACCUCAGCAGAGCCAGGAGAGGUUGGGUGACACCCACUGCGUAUUGCACUUGACUCAAAACUGCCCUCGGCCUGCGGAAGAGGCGAGGGCAAGAAGCCUGGUGGCGGGUCAAACCUUCACCCCAUUAUUUUCUAUCAUUUUUUUAUGCCCAUAUAUUUGUUAAGUGUAUGGCUGCUGUACACCAACAGCUUAUUCUACGGAAGUGCCCCCGAGGAGGAUUGGGUUAAGCUUUGCAAAUUUGGCUUCCCAAGUAAUGCGCUUCAUUAUUCUGCUCCCGACUUACCCACCACACCAGUGGGUACCCGGAGCAGCACCCACUUGGCAGAAUUGAUGACUGCUUGGGCCCAGCGGAGUGCGCAUUGCGCUAACACGCGCACGGAAUUGCACCCUUGCCGGAGUCUCCGCACCGUGCGCCCUUCGAAGAGCUGGCGACCCCGCUCACGUGUAAGCCACCUCCCACUUUGAAACUAAUUCGCACCCGCGUCUUUCACCCCAAAGGACUUUGCUGCGGACGCUGCUCUGACCCAAGACGCGGGAGAGAAGUCCCAAAGGCUACAGCCAGGGGCUGGGGGACUCCUCUGCUCACCUUAGUCCUUGAUUUCGAAGGCCCCAAUUAACUAUCUGUAGUGUCAGAAUCGGCGAGUGCAAAGUGGCUGCGCCCCGCUGACGAGCUCUCUCCUGGGUCCCGGUAUCCCAGGGCAUCCGGAGCUGGGGAGGGUUGUGCGGACUACCCAAGGCACGCGCAGAUACCGGGCAGGGAAGAAGGGCUCCGUGUUCCAAGGAUGGUCGUUUACCUCUCCUGAGAUCAGCCCUGAUCCGUUGGUAACUUAAGCGCCUCUGAAAUCGGGGAGCGCUUGGUGGGGCGCCUCCCUGCAUCCACCCCUACCCCUGGCUCCUUCCCAGGCCCAGCAUCUUUCCCACCAUUCUCACCCCCACCACCCCCACGGCCCCGCCCGUUUAGAGGCGUGCGGUGGGCACUCGGUUUACAGAACCGGCGUUUCAAAUGUUUAUUUGCAACUAAUUGCUUGUGCUGGAAAAUGCUCGUUACCCGGGCGGAGCGCUUCCGCUCUGCGCGGUCCGGCCUGGCGGGCGGUGGUAGCUCGCUGAUCCCUCCCGCGAAGCCUCCAAGGAGCGGGCGGCUGGGAGAGGUUGUGCCACCCGGGACCAAGCCAUCGGCGCUGCUCCGGACUCCCGGUAGGGGGAGCCGCCGCGGGCGCCAGGCCGGCUUGUGUUCUGGCCUCGGGGCGGCCCUGCUGCCAGCGGCCGGGACUCCCAGCACAGAGCUCGGGAGGACUCCACCUGCUCUCCAGAUAAGGCGCCAUGAGCAGAGAAGGGAACAGAGGGCCAAGCUCCCUCCUAAUUCCCCGUUGUUGCAUAGCAAAGAAGAUGGGGGGGAGCUAAUUAUAUUCUCUAGGUCUAAAUAUUAUUGAAAAAUUUGUAGGUGAGAUCACCUCCUUUGCCCAUAUCCAUAUAUAAUAUAUCCAUUACAUGUGUUUGCCCAUAUAUAUACGUAUGGCAUAUGUAAAUAUGUACGAGUGUGUAUGUAUGUGUAUAGCAAUGGUUUAGAAUUAGUCUCAGUUCCACAAAUUUUGAGCCCUUUUAAUAUUUUAGGUGACCUAAUCCCUUCUCACCGUAUUUUCCAAGUCACUUAUUUCCAAGAGUUUUAGGUGAUCCCAGCACAAAAUAGGAGCUCAGAUGAGACUUGCCAGUUUUGCUGCAGUAAUGUCAGCAAAAGAGUCUCUCUCUUUCUGACUCUAUAGGCUUAAGUAAGGGUUUAGAGGCUUUCAUUUUAAGGUGUGACUAAUGUUUAGAGAACAAGACUAAACCAAGGUCAAGGGGAAAGCAAUUAGACUGUGAACCUGCAGACCACUCCACUGCACCCAGUGUGGCAGCACACCUGUGCUGAACGGCCAGAGACUUCCUGGUCAAUACUCCCACAGAUAAAAGACUGCAGGCUCUGCUUAUACACAAAUCCAUCUUUCGCUGGGAACCCACAACUCAUAACAACUCUCCUAAUGCCAAGUCAUCAAGGCCUCUUGAAAGAGAAUCAUAAAAAAAACAAAGAAUUUCAAACUUGGAAGGAAACCUAAAAUUUACUGGUGAGGAGCUUGAACUGAGUAGAGGCAAAGAAUCAUACUCCAGAUGAGAAAGGCCCCAUGCACUGAGCUGAGACUGGAACUCUCCUCUUCUGACUCUCAGUCCAGUAAGUUUGACUACAGAGCACUCAUUAUCAUUGUGAUUAUUAUGUUCCCACAUAUUUUGUCAUUCUUAGUUAGGCAUACUCCUUUAACACUAUUGUAAUAAAAGCAAAAUCUGAAAGAUCUUU
rnacentral:antisense_RNA from 1 species